GGUUAAGCGACUAAGCGUACACGGUGGAUGCCCUGGCAGUCAGAGGCGAUGAAGGACGUGCUAAUCUGCGAAAAGCGUCGGUAAGGUGAUAUGAACCGUUAUAGCCGGCGAUGUCCGAAUGGGGAAACCCAGUGCAAUUCGUUGCACUAUCGUUUGAUGAAUACAUAGUCAAACGAGGCGAACCGGGGGAACUGAAACAUCUAAGUACCCCGAGGAAAAGAAAUCAACCGAGAUUCCCCCAGUAGCGGCGAGCGAACGGGGAGCAGCCCGGAGUCUGAAUCAGCUUGUGUGUUAGUGGAAGCGUCUGGAAAGUCGCAGGGUACAGGGUGAUACUCCCGUACACUAAAACACACAGGCUGUGAACUCGAAGAGUAGGGCGGGACACGUGGUAUCCUGUCUGAAUAUGGGGGGACCAUCCUCCAAGGCUAAAUACUCCUGACUGACCGAUAGUGAACCAGUACCGUGAGGGAAAGGCGAAAAGAACCCCGGCGAGGGGAGUGAAAAAGAACCUGAAACCGUGUACGUACAAGCAGUAGGAGCCUCUUUAUGGGGUGACUGCGUACCUUUUGUAUAAUGGGUCAGCGACUUAUAUUCUGUAGCAAGGUUAACCGUAUAGGGGAGCCGCAGGGAAACCGAGUCUUAACUGGGCGUUAAGUUGCAGGGUAUAGACCCGAAACCCGGUGAUCUAGCCAUGGGCAGGUUGAAGGUUGGGUAACACUAACUGGAGGACCGAACCGACUAAUGUUGAAAAAUUAGCGGAUGACUUGUGGCUGGGGGUGAAAGGCCAAUCAAACCGGGAGAUAGCUGGUUCUCCCCGAAAGCUAUUUAGGUAGCGCCUCGUGAACUCAUCUUCGGGGGUAGAGCACUGUUUCGGCUAGGGGGUCAUCCCGACUUACCAACCCGAUGCAAACUACGAAUACCGAAGAAUGUUAUCACGGGAGACACACGGCGGGUGCUAACGUCCGUCGUGAAGAGGGAAACAACCCAGACCGCCAGCUAAGGUCCCAAAGUCAUGGUUAAGUGGGAAACGAUGUGGGAAGGCCCAGACAGCCAGGAUGUUGGCUUAGAAGCAGCCAUCAUUUAAAGAAAGCGUAAUAGCUCACUGGUCGAGUCGGCCUGCGCGGAAGAUGUAACGGGGCUAAACCAUGCACCGAAGCUGCGGCAGCGACACUAUGUGUUGUUGGGUAGGGGAGCGUUCUGUAAGCCGUUGAAGGUGGCCUGUGAGGGUUGCUGGAGGUAUCAGAAGUGCGAAUGCUGACAUAAGUAACGAUAAUGCGGGUGAAAAACCCGCACGCCGGAAGACCAAGGGUUCCUGUCCAACGUUAAUCGGGGCAGGGUGAGUCGACCCCUAAGGCGAGGCCGAAAGGCGUAGUCGAUGGGAAACAGGUUAAUAUUCCUGUACUCGGUGUUACUGCGAAGGGGGGACGGAGAAGGCUAUGUUGGCCGGGCGACGGUUGUCCCGGUUUAAGCAUGUAGGCGGAUGUUCCAGGUAAAUCCGGAACGUUACUAACGCUGAGGUGUGAUGACGAGGCACUACGGUGCUGAAGUGACAAAUGCCCUGCUUCCAGGAAAAGCCUCUAAGCAUCAGGUAACAUCAAAUCGUACCCCAAACCGACACAGGUGGUCAGGUAGAGAAUACCAAGGCGCUUGAGAGAACUCGGGUGAAGGAACUAGGCAAAAUGGUGCCGUAACUUCGGGAGAAGGCACGCUGAUAUGUAGGUGAAGUGGUUUACCCAUGGAGCUGAAAUCAGUCGAAGAUACCAGCUGGCUGCAACUGUUUAUUAAAAACACAGCACUGUGCAAACACGAAAGUGGACGUAUACGGUGUGACGCCUGCCCGGUGCCGGAAGGUUAAUUGAUGGGGUUAUCCGUAAGGAGAAGCUCUUGAUCGAAGCCCCGGUAAACGGCGGCCGUAACUAUAACGGUCCUAAGGUAGCGAAAUUCCUUGUCGGGUAAGUUCCGACCUGCACGAAUGGCGUAAUGAUGGCCAGGCUGUCUCCACCCGAGACUCAGUGAAAUUGAACUCGCUGUGAAGAUGCAGUGUACCCGCGGCAAGACGGAAAGACCCCGUGAACCUUUACUAUAGCUUGACACUGAACACUGGUCCUUGAUGUGUAGGAUAGGUGGGAGGCUUUGAAGCGUGGACGCCAGUCUGCGUGGAGCCAUCCUUGAAAUACCACCCUUUAAUGGCUGGUGUUCUAACGUGGGCCCCUAAUCGGGGUUGCGGACAGUGUCUGGUGGGUAGUUUGACUGGGGCGGUCUCCUCCUAAAGAGUAACGGAGGAGCACGAAGGUCAGCUAAUCCUGGUCGGACAUCAGGAGGUUAGUGCAAUGGCAUAAGCUGGCUUGACUGCGAGCGUGACGGCGCGAGCAGGUGCGAAAGCAGGUCAUAGUGAUCCGGUGGUUCUGAAUGGAAGGGCCAUCGCUCAACGGAUAAAAGGUACUCCGGGGAUAACAGGCUGAUACCGCCCAAGAGUUCAUAUCGACGGCGGUGUUUGGCACCUCGAUGUCGGCUCAUCACAUCCUGGGGCUGAAGUAGGUCCCAAGGGUAUGGCUGUUCGCCAUUUAAAGUGGUACGCGAGCUGGGUUUAGAACGUCGUGAGACAGUUCGGUCCCUAUCUGCCGUGGGCGCUGGAGAAUUGAGGGGGGCUGCUCCUAGUACGAGAGGACCGGAGUGGACGCAUCACUGGUGUUCGGGUUGUCAUGCCAAUGGCAUUGCCCGGUAGCUAAAUGCGGAAGAGAUAAGUGCUGAAAGCAUCUAAGCACGAAACUUGCCCCGAGAUGAGUUCUCCCUGACCCUUUAAGGGUCCUGAAGGAACGUUGAAGACGACGACGUUGAUAGGCCGGGUGUGUAAGCGCAGCGAUGCGUUGAGCUAACCGGUACUAAUGAACCGUGAGGCUUAACCUU
rnacentral:rRNA from 1 species